AGGACGAACGCUGGCGGCGUGCUUAACACAUGCAAGUCGAGCGGAAAGGCCCUUCGGGGUACUCGAGCGGCGAACGGGUGAGUAACACGUGAGUAACCUGCCCCUAGCUCUGGGAUAGCUCCGGGAAACCGGGAUUAAUACCAGAUACGACCACUUUAGACAUCUGUCGUGGUGGAAAGGAUUCCGGCUAGGGAUGGGCUCGCGGCCUAUCAGCUUGUUGGCGGGGUAACGGCCCACCAAGGCGACGACGGGUA
rnacentral:rRNA from 1 species